rnacentral:rRNA from 1 species
UGUAUUUAUUCUUGUUUAUCUCAGGUUAAAGAGUUUAAUUUGAAAAAUAAUUUAUUAUUUAAGUAAUUUUUAGUAAAAUAAUAAAAUAACUAUAGUUCAUUAGUACAGUGAUGGAAAUGUAAAUUAAUGCAAGUAAAGAAUGUUUAUAUUACUAUACCUUGUGUAUUAGGGAAACUCUAUAUAAAUUAAUGAUUUUAAAUGUCUCGAAAUAAAAACAGCUAAAUUUAUACUAUUGUGCUUGUCGAAUAAAGCUUUCAAAUAUAAAUUUAAAGGUGAAAUGUUAUUAGAGUUUUAUUAUAUCUGGUUUUUUUAGAAUAAAAUUUAAUUUUGAUUUUAAAUAUAAUAGAUUUAAAUUUUAACUGUAGGAGGGAGUAGCUUCUUACAGAUCUUUUUUAAUAGUUACAUAAAAAUAAAUUUUUUGAGACUAGGCUUAAAAGUAGCCAUGUUAAAAAAGUGUUAUUACUUAUUAAUAAUAAAUUUUUAUUUAAGAUAACUUUAAACAAGUACAAAACUUUUUUGUAAAAUAAAAUUAUAAAAGUGAUAAUGAAUUUAUUAGUAUAAUUAAUGUAAGCUAACUAAAAUAUAAUAACUAAGACGUUAAAAUAUUUAGUGUAAAAUAUAAAGGAACUCGGCAAAUAAUUUUUCUUGCCUGUUUAUCAAAAACAUGUCUAUUUGAAGAUAUAAAAAGUCUAAUCUGCCCACUGAAAUUAAUAUUAAAGGGCCGCAGUAUAUUGACUGUGCAAAGGUAGCAUAAUCGUUUGGUUUUUAA